CCUACGGGGUGCAGCAGUGGGGAAUAUUGCACAAUGGGGGGAACCCUGAUGCAGCAAUGCCGCGUGGGUGAAGAAGCACUCCGGUGCGUAAAGCCCUGUCAGCAGGGAAGAAAAUGACAGUACCUUACCACGAAGCACCGGCUAACUACGUGCAAGCAGCCGCGGGAAUACGUAGGGGGCAGGCGUUAUCCGGAUGUAAUGGGUGUAAAGGGGGCGCAGGCGGUAUGGAAAGUCCGAUGUGAAAACCCAGGGCCCAACCCUGGGACUGCAUUUGAAACUGCCAUACUGGAGUGCCGGAGAGGUAAGUGGAAUUCCUAGUGUAGCGGUGAAAUGCGUAGAUGUUAGGAGGAACACCAGUGGCGAAGGCGGCUUACUGGACGGUAACUGACGCUGAGGCUCGAAAGCGUGGGGAGCAAACAGGAUUAGAUACCCCAGUAGUC
rnacentral:rRNA from 1 species